UAAUUUAGCUUAUUUGUGAAAUAAAUAAUACUGAUUCAUAGAUUGCCCUCCCAUUUUGACGUUAGAACCAUUUUCUGAUUUUAAGGUCUCUGCAAUAGUUACAUUCUUGCUGGGACCAGAACGGGCAGAAAAAAUCAAGAUAUUCGCAGGAGAUGUGGUUCCCCGCAAGAAGCCUGAUCCAGCCAUCUAUGUAUUGGCGGCUAACACUCUUGGUGUUGAUCCUUCAGGUUGUGUCGUGAUAGAGGACAGCGGCAUAGGCCUUGCAGCUGCCAAAGC